CUCGUGACGGUGCCGGGCCCGACGGCGGCUGCGUGGGGAGGGCGGUCUCGGUGCCGGAGCUAAGAUGGCGGCCUCCAGCGCCAGGCGCUGAGGGAGCUGGAGCGGUGUAGCGGCUGCCGCCGGGGCAGCUGAAGGCUGAGGGGCGAGGGCUCCGCUCAGCAGCCCUUCGCCCUUAUCGCCGGCAGCGGCGGGAAGUGCGGUGCUGGUUGGGGGCAGGUCCGGGCAGCGCAAGGCUCCCCGGCCAGGGCUUGGCACAGCAUGAAUAUAAUUCGAGAAAACAGAGAUCUUGCUUGUUUCUACACAACAAAACAUUCAUGGAGGGGAAAGUAUAAGCGAGUCUUUUCAGUAGGAACCCAUGCCAUCACCACAUACAAUCCCAACACGCUAGAAGUUACAAAUCAGUGGCCUUAUGGAGAUAUCUGUAGUAUUUCCCCUGUUGGAAAAGGACAAGGAACAGAAUUUAGCCUCACUUUUCGGAAAGGGAGUGGAAAAAAGUCUGAAACUCUGAAGUUUUCCACAGAGCACAGAACAGAACUCCUUACAGAGGCACUGAGAUUCAGGACAGACUUCUCAGAAGGAAAAAUCACAGGAAGGAGAUACAACUGCUAUAAACAUCACUGGAGUGAUACGAGGAAAUCUGUGAUUCUGGAAGUGACUCCUGGAGGUAUUGACCAAAUUGAUCCUGCAACGAAUAAAGUCCUGUGCUCCUAUGACUACAGAAAUAUUGAAGGCUUUGUUGAUAUUGCUGGCUAUCAGGGAGGCUUCUGUAUCCUCUAUGGAGGAUUUAGUAGAUUGCACCUGUUUGCAUCUGAGCAGAGGGAGGAGAUUAUCAAAAGUGCAAUAGAACAUGCUGGCAACUUCAUAGGGAUCUCUCUGCGGAUAAGGAAAGAAUCCCUCGAAUUUGAGCAAUACUUGAAUGUUCGCUUUGGCAAAUACAGCACUGAUGAAUCUGUGACAUCUUUAGCAGAGUUUGUUGUUCAGAAAAUAACACCUAGACAUUUGGAACCUGUGAAAAGAGUGCUAGCUCUUACAGAAGCUUGCUUAGUUGAGCGGGAUCCAGCUACCUAUAACAUUGCAACUUUGAAACCUUUAGGCGAGGUAUUUGCAAUAGUAUGUGACUGUGAAAAUCCCCAGCUUUUUACCAUUGAAUUUAUCAAAGGACAAAUUCGGAAAUACUCUUCAACAGAGAGAGAUUCUCUCCUGGCUAGCUUGUUGGAUGGAGUGAGAGCUUCUGGUAAUAGAGAUGUUUGCGUGAAGAUGACCUCCACACACAAAGGCCAGCGUUGGGGAUUACUCAGUAUGCCUGUAGAUGAAGAAGUAGAGAGCCUUCAUCUGAGGUUUUUGGCUGCUCCUCCAAAUGGUAACUUUGCAGAUGCUGUGUUCAGGUUCAAUGCUAACAUUUCCUACAGUGGGGUACUACAUGCAGUUACACAAGAUGGUCUGUUCUCAGAAAACAAGGAGAAACUCAUUAAUAAUGCCAUAACAGCAUUGCUUUCACAAGAGGGAGAUAUUGCAGCAUCUAAUGCAGAGCUUGAAAGCCAAUUCCAAGCAGUAAGACGACUAGUGGCUUCAAAAGCAGGCUUCCUUGCCUUUACUCAGCUUCCAAAAUUCCGAGAACGGUUAGGAGUGAAGGUUGUGAAAGCCCUCAAAAGGAACAACGAUGGAGUAACCCAUGCCUCUAUUGACAUGCUUUGUGCUCUGAUGUGUCCCAUGCAUGAUGACUAUGACUUGAGGCAGGAGCAGCUGAACAAAGCUUCCCUUCUUUCUUCGAAGAAGUUUCUAGAAAACCUACUAGAGAAAUUCAAUUCCCAUGUGGAUCAUGGGACAGGUGCCCUAGUAAUUAGUUCACUUCUGGACUUCCUGACAUUUGCCCUAUGUGCUCCAUAUAGUGAGACUACUGAGGGGCAGCAGUUUGACAUGUUGUUGGAAAUGGUGGCAUCUAAUGGAAGAACACUAUUUAAGCUCUUUCAGCACCCUUCCAUGGCAAUUGUGAAAGGAGCAGGUUUGGUAAUGAAGGCAAUAAUAGAGGAAGGAGACAAAGAGAUUGCUACCAAAAUGCAAGAUCUUGCCCUCAGUGAAGGUGCCUUACCUCGUCACUUGCACACUGCUAUGUUUACAAUAAGCACAGAUCAGAGGAUGCUUACGAAUAGGCAGUUAAGUAGACAUUUGGUUGGCCUCUGGACAGCUGAGAACAAAACUGCCAUGAACUUGUUGAAACGUAUUUUGCCACCAGGUUUGCUGGCAUACCUUGACAGCGCUGAUCCUGUUCCUGAAAAAGAUGCUGAUAGGAUGCAUGUUAGAGAUAACUUAAAAAUUGCAACUGAUCAGUAUGGCAAGUUUAAUAAAGUGCCAGAGUGGCAGAGACUGGCUGGAAAAGCUGCAAAAGAAGUAGAAAAAUUUGCCAAAGAGAAGGUGGAUCUAGUCUUGAUGCACUGGAGAGACCGAAUGGGCAUAGCUCAAAAAGAGGACAGAAACAAUAUGAAUAUAAUUCAAAAGCCAGUGAUACUGAGGAAACGACGCCAAAGAAUAAAAAUAGAAGCAAACUGGGAUCUGUUCUAUUACAGAUUUCUUCAGGAUCAUGCUAGGUCAAACUUGAUUUGGAACUUCAAAACACGGGAAGAACUGAGAGAUACUCUUGAGUCUGAGAUGAGAGCAUUUAAUAUUGACAGAGAACUUGGUAGUGCUAAUGUUAUCUCAUGGAACCAUCAGGAGUUUGAGGUAAAAUACGAGUGCCUUUCUGAGGAAAUAAAAAUAGGGGAUUAUUAUCUAAGAUUGCUGCUGGAAGAAGAUGAAACAGAAGAGAGUGGAGCAAUCAAAAAAUCAUAUGAAUUCUUCAAUGAACUCUACCACCGCUUCUUGCUUACCCCAAAAGUGAAUAUGAAAUGCUUAUGUCUGCAAGCAUUGGCUAUAGUUUAUGGAAGAUGUCAUGAAGAAAUAGGACCGUUUUCUGAUACCAAGUACAUUGUCGGGAUGUUAGAAAGGUGCACUGACAGGCUUGAGCGGGACAGGUUGAUACUGUUUCUCAACAAGCUGAUCCUGAAUAAGAAAAAUGUGAAGGACCUUAUGGAUUCAAAUGGGGUUAGAAUCCUUGUAGAUCUGCUUACUCUAGCACAUCUUCACACAAGCAGAGCAACAGUCCCUCUGCAGAGCAAUGUGAUUGAGGCAGCACCUGAUAUGAAGAGGGAGAGCGAGAAAGAAUGGUACUUUGGCAAUGCUGACAAAGAAAGGAGUGGUCCUUACAGCUUUCAAGAGAUGCAGGAACUAUGGAACAGUGGAAAGCUGACUUCCAAAACACGUUGCUGGGCUCAAGGUAUGGAUGGCUGGCGACCAUUGCAGGUCAUCCCUCAGCUGAAGUGGUGCUUGCUUGCCAGCGGCCAGCCUGUAUUGAAUGAGACUGACCUUGCCACACUUGUACUCAACAUGCUCAUCACAAUGUGUGGAUAUUUUCCCAGCAGGGAUCAAGACAAUGCUAUUAUAAGACCUUUGCCUAGAGUGAAGAGGCUGUUGUCAGAUAGUACUUGCCUUCCUCACAUCACUCAGCUGUUACUGACUUUUGAUCCUAUCCUCGUGGAAAAAGUCGCUGUGUUGCUGCUUCAUGUCAUGCAAGAUAACCCUCAGUUACCUCGCUUUUAUCUGAGCGGGGUAUUCUUCUUUAUCAUGAUGUACACGGGUUCCAAUGUACUUCCUAUUGCAAGGUUUUUGAAAUACACACAUACAAAACAAGCUUUCAAGUCUGAAGAAACAAAAGGUCAAGAUAUAGUUCAAAGAAGUAUACUUGGACAUGUUCUUCCUGAAGCAAUGGUGUGUUACUUGGAAAACUAUGAACCAGAAAAGUUUUCAGAGAUUUUCCUUGGAGAGUUUGACACUCCAGAAGCAAUUUGGAGCAAUGAAAUGAGGCGUCUUAUGAUAGAGAAGAUUGCGGCUCAUCUUGCUGACUUCACUCCUCGUCUUCAGAGCAAUACAAGAGCACUCUACCAGUACUGUCCAAUCCCAGUUAUCAACUAUCCACAACUGGAAAAUGAGCUCUUCUGUAACAUUUAUUACCUCAAACAUCUCUGUGAUACAUUCAGGUUUCCAGACUGGCCAAUUAAAGAUCCAGUUAAACUCUUGAAAGAUACACUAGAAGCUUGGAAAAAGGAGGUAGAAAAGAAGCCACCUACCAUGUCAAUAGAUGAUGCUUAUGAAGUCCUUAACCUUCCCAAAGGACAAGGCCAGCAUGAUGAAAGCAAGAUCAGGAAAGCUUAUUUCAGGCUGGCACAAAAAUACCACCCAGACAAGAAUCCAGAAGGCAGGGAUAUGUUUGAGAAAGUAAAUAAAGCAUAUGAGUUUCUGUGCACAAAGUCUGCCAAGGUGAUAGAUGGGCCAGAUCCAGAAAACAUAAUUUUGAUCUUGAAAACUCAAAGCAUCCUCUUCAACAGGCAUAAGGAAGAGUUAAAACCUUACAAGUAUGCAGGCUAUCCUAUGCUGAUAAAGACUAUUAACAUAGAAACAUCAGAUGACCUUUUGUUUUCCAAAGAAUCUCCUCUGUUGCCUGCUGCUACAGAACUUGCUUUUCAUACUGUCAAUUGCUCAGCGUUAAAUGCAGAGGAACUGAGAAGAGAAAAUGGAAUUGAGGUAUUGCAAGAAGCAUUUAAUCGUUGUGUAGCAGUCCUGACUCAUUCUAGUAAACCAGAUGAUAUGUCUGUGCAGGUAUGUGGCUAUGUUAGUAAGUGUUACAGUGUGGCAGCUCAGUUUGAGGAGUGCAGAGAGAAGAUUACAGAAAAGCCUAACAUCAUUAAGGACCUCUGUAGACUACUGUAUUAUGGCAAGAAUAUACCACGAGUAGCUGCUUUGGGAGUAGAGUGUGUGAGCUCCUUUGCCUUAGACUACUGGCUACAAACACACUUAUUCCAAGCUGGAGUUCUCUGGUACUUACUGGGUUACCUCUUCAACUACGACUAUACACUAGAAGAGAGUGGUAUUCAGAAAAGUGAAGAUUCAAAUCACCAGGAGGUAGCAAAUAGCCUUGCUAAGCUCAGUCUCCUGGCCCUGAGUCGCCUUGGAGGCUAUCUGUCUGAAGAACAAGCUACACCUGAAAACCCAACGAUCAGGAAAAGCUUGGCUGGAAUGCUGACACCCUACAUUGCAAGGAAGCUCUCUGUGGUCAGUCCUACUGAGACUCUGAAGAUGCUUAACAGUAACACAGAGAACCCCUACUUAAUCUGGAACAAUGGGACAAGAGCUGAACUAGUUGAGUUUUUGGAAUCUCAACAAGAAAGCAUGAUUAAGAAAGGUGAUUGUGACAAGAGCUAUGGAUCUGACUUUGUCUUCAGUGACCAUGCAAAGGAACUUAUUGUGGGAGAGAUUUUUGUUAGAGUCUACAAUGAGGUCCCUACCUUCCAACUAGAGCUUCCUAAAGCAUUUGCUGCAAGCCUCUUGGAUUACAUAGGCUCACAAGCACAGUACCUUCAUACGCUAAUGGCAAUAACCCAGACGGGGAAAGUCGAGUCCAAUCAACAUGGAGAUCGGUUACGGAGAGUUGAGAUGGCCCUGGAGGCUCUGAGAAACGUGAUAAAACACAACCCAGGUUCUGAGUGUGAAUGCAUAGGUCACUUUAAGUUGAUAUUCUCCCUUCUGCGUGUUCAUGGAGCUGGCCAGGUGCAGCAGUUGGCUCUGGAGGUGGUGAACAUAGUGACAAGUAACCAAGAAUGUGUUAACAACAUUGCUGAGGCAAUGGUUCUUGCGAACUUACUGGCACUCCUGCAUUCCUUACCUUCAAGUCGGCAGCUCGUCCUUGAGACUUUGUAUGCUUUGACAUCUAGCACAAAAAUAAUCAAAGAGGCCAUGACAAAAGGUGCUUUAAUCUACUUACUAGAUAUGUUUUGCAACUCAACUCACCCGCAGGUUCGAGCCCAAACAGCAGAGCUCUUUGCCAAAAUGACUGCAGAUAAACUGGUGGGUCCAAAGGUUAGAAUUACACUGAUGAAGUUUUUACCUGGAGUCUUCAUGGAUGCCAUGAGAGACAACCCUGAAGCUGCCGUUCAUAUCUUUGAGGGAACUCAUGAAAAUCCCGAGUUAAUCUGGAACGACAACUCCAGGGAGAAAGUAUCAACAACAGUUCGAGAAAUGAUGCUUGAGCACUUUAAACUUCAGAGGGACAACCCUGACACUAACUGGAAGCUUCCUGAAGACUUUGCUGUGGUGUAUGGUGAGGCAGAAGGUGAACUUUCAGUGGGGGGAGUCUUCCUAAGGAUUUUUAUUGCCCAGCCGGCCUGGGUUUUGCGGAAACCAAGAGAAUUUCUCAUUGCACUGUUGGAAAAGUUUACUGAACUGCUGGAGAAGAAUAACCCCCAUGGGGAAACUUUAGAAACCAUUACCACAGCAACUGUGUGCCUGUUCAGUGCCCAGCCUCAGCUGGCUGAUCAAGUUCCUCCACUUGGUCAUCUUCACAAGAUAAUCCAAGCUAUGAAUCACAAGAACAACGCCAUUCCUAAAAGUGCCAUUCGUGUGGUGCACAUACUGUCUGACAAUGAGCUUUGUGUUCGAGCAAUGGCAUCACUAGAGACCAUCAGCCCUCUCAUGAAUGGAAUGAAAAAGAGAUCAGAUAUAGUUGGUGUAGCCUGUGAAGCACUUAAUCGAAUGUUUCAGAAGGAACAAAAUGACUUGGUGGCCCAAGCUCUGAAGGCAGAUUUGGUCCCCUACCUUCUAAAGCUGCUUGAAGGGGUUGGUCUCGAGAACCUGGAAAGCCCAGCUGCAACAAAAGCUCAGAUUGUUAAAACUCUGAAGUCCAUGUCUCGCAGCCUGCAGUAUGGAGAGCAGGUAAAUGAAAUCCUGUCUCGUUCUUCUGUGUGGAGUGCCUUCAAGGAUCAGAAACAUGACUUGUUCAUUUCUGAGACACAAACAGCAGGAUACCUCACAGGUGUCUCUUCUCCUUCCCUUCUAACUGGCAGCAGUCCCCUUCACCUGAGAAGUGGGCUUUAGAUCUGCUCUGCCAGGCAGCUUGCUCACUUCUGUGUAGCUCUCUAAAGCAGGCCCUGGAGUCGCUGGUUACCUCACUGCAGGGACGACAGCAUCUGUAAUGCCCCACGUACCACCCCCGGUAGACAACGAAGUGGGAGAUGGCAGCUAAGGACUGCAGACCUGUGUGAAAGAGGCAAAGGCAGCGUGGCCAGUGAUGAGGAACAGCAAUUUCCUCCAACGCUCUGAAGUGAACUUACUGCCUUUUCCAAGUGUUUAUGACAGUGUUAUUCCUUUUUCUAAGACUUGUUUGGUUCUUCUUUUUUUAGGGAAAAGUCAGUGAUUCUGUCACACUGUACCACAAGGAAGCACUCUGUGGAUCAGCUGAAAUGGGUACACAAGAAGUUUUUUUUCUUGUUGUACGUAAGCACAUUUUGUUCCUUUCUAUUUGUUUACAAGACUGUGAAUCAAACUUUCCUAGUUUUUAUAUUUUAUGAAUUAGCACGACUGGAGUUGAGCUACAGUCUAGAGGAAUUGGGCUAAAAUCACUUUGACCUCACCCACCCCCACUAAAAGGGCAUCCCUCCCUCUUCCCAGUCUGACAUGAUCACUCCCAUUGAACAUGACUUGCAAAGGGUUUGUCCCUGCACCGGUUCACUGAUGUCCUUAAUCAUUAACAUUCUCUUCUUCCUGAGAUCAGACACCAUUAGACAUUCGUAUGUAUAACUGGCUUGACCAAAUUGACAGAGCUUCAGCAAAAAAACAACCUUAAAGUUGACGUUAUGUAAGAAAUUAGUGUAAUUGUGAAAUGUUCUAUACAUUAUCCAGUAUAUAAAAACUUUCUAUAUUGAGUGUACAUUAUACAGAUCAUUCAUAUGUACAGAAAAUUUUAAAAUAAAGGGAAUUAAGAGCCUUGUUAAUGAGAGAAAA